rnacentral:lncRNA from 1 species
AUGUGGUUAAUGCAGCCGCAUGUUACGCCUAACUCUCUGGUUAGUGGAAUGUUUAAUUUUCAGUCCAGCUCAUUUUAACACUUCUUAACUUGGUCUUACAAUAAGUACAAAUUAAGAAGAUGUAAAAGGUCCCAAGUAAAAGCAUUUAGGAUUAGGCCUUAUAGCAAUUAGCAAAAUGCAAUGACAAUCAUUGCAGUCGUACGAAGAGAUAAGCAGAAGAAGAAACCUAGUCAACAAAGUCUUUGUACAGAUAAUAAAAACAUUUAAACAUAAUGAGUCAUAAGUGUAACAUUAAAGAUUAAUGGGGCCAUUUCAACAGAUAAAGAAAACAAAGGAGGUCCGUUGUCAAAUGCUCUGAGAAAAUAAUUGAAAGUUUUCAAUGUCUGAUUUUUCCAAAUGCCCACAACAUCAUCAUUCACUGCUUGGCAAUAAUGGCCUAACUGGACCUUCCUCAAGUUGUAGAAAAAUUUGGGGGGCUUCAAUGGACCGUCAAAUUGUAAUCAAAUGACUAUGAAAUUCAAAUGUCAUCUACUUCAUUUGGUAUAUUCUUGUUGAAUGGUUCAUAAUUGCUCUGCAUAGUACUCAAACUUUGCAGACAAAUGAAGAAGGAAAAGAUAAAAUUAUACUCAUUCUGAAACUCCACUUGACAUCCCGGCCUCUAGCGCACAAACCAAACAACAUUGUCAAACUCGGAGGAGAUAGAGAUUGUCAUCUCUGCAAACCAAACAAAGAUAGACACCAAUGGCUUUCAAGAAUUUGGUAUGGCAGAGAAGUUUGCAGCAAAAUUACAUGUCAUGUCUCCGAUACCUGAACCUAAUUAAACGCAUCUCGUCUCCAUCAAUUGUAGGACCAUCCUACAGUUUCUUCCAUGAUGGGUCACAUCCCAUAAGCUUCCUAACUUCUUCAGAAAAAUUUUAGCGGCUUGAAUUUAUGCCCGGAAAGCAAGCAUCAUACCAGGCAAAUUUCAUUGGAUGAAAUUACAUAUAACAUUAUCAUUCAUACCCACAUGUGUGAACUGCUUACUGGUUGGGAUAUCAGUUGAUGGACAGAAAGAGAAAACUCGCUUGAGAACAGUUGACAUAAUCAGAUUUUUGCUAUUCAAUGGAAGCAAAAAUUGGGUAUUGUUUGAUGAAGGAAGUUUGUUUGGGUUGGGAUAUGAAAUGCAUGCCUCAUGUGCAGUCGUUGGGGGGUGGGAAGAUAAGAGGUUUUCCAUGAGAAUGAAAUCAAGAGUAGGUAGUUCAUGGAGGUUGUGCUUUAUGGUUUAGGACGGCUUUUGUCGUGUGGAAAGAGAGGGAGGAAAUGUUCAAACACAUAAACUUAAGAUGUAAAAACCAAAUUAAAUCAUACAUACAAACCGAGCAACACCAGAAAACCACUGGCCUCAUCGAGUAUAUUCAUGCAACAGGCGAUAUAAAUGAACAGCAUCAGCACCACAACAUGUUUGCUGAUUCCAAAUUCAGACAUGUUUGUUUCAAGAGAUGAAACAAAAAAGUUCAAUAAGAAAAAGUUAUAACAAAACUUCUGCCUUUCCAAUUCUCUUGUUUGCGGUGGCCAUCUUCUGACCUUCUGAACACACAUACUCUUAAUUAAAGCAACAAAACAAGUAAAAAAUAGAGUGAGUAGAAACAGAGAGACUCAACAAAAUGGGCAAAAUCAGAUAUAAAAGGAACUAUAAGUAUCUUCCAUGUAUAUAGAUAAAAGCAAUGAUUCCAUAGAAAAGCGGGAAGAAGCACAAGCAUCAUCACCACCAUCACGGCAACAACAAUAAGAUUCAGAAACCCAUUUCCAUACACAGUGAGGUUCCGAUGAUCAGUGAUGACAAUCUCCUUAUGCUCUCCCUUCUUCUUCGUCUUCUUCUUGAAUAUAAUAUGACAAUUAAAGGAAAGAAAAGGGGUAUAUGAAAAAUGGAAAAUCUAAAAGUAAAACACUACAACUAUUGCCUGGCUCCAUUCUGUCUGCCUUGUUACUAUGUAUGAAGAACAGGGGAUUGUGCUGUACAGAGAGAGCUACAUUGCACUCUUCGCCUUAAAAAUGCACAACUAACACCUCUGUUUUACAGAGGGAAUGUCUUGAGGGUACGUUUCUCUUUCUCAACAAAGGCCAGUUUGGUCAUUGCAGGGAACUCGGUGAGAAUGAAUGAAUUGAAUGGUUGGGAUGGACAAAACCACUGUGCUUUUCUAGUGGUUUUGUCUUCUUGAGCCAUUUCAGAAACUUGCUCAGGCCCAUUGGGCCCAACCCCACCACCACUCCUCCAUCCUCCUCUCCACCCACUGAGGAAGAAGAUUGAAGCUCGCUGUCUCUCUCCUUUAUUCUGCUCUCCUCUGUUAGUGAAAGAGGGAUAUGAGAGAGGAUAUAGAGCUUGAGGGGUUUUUAAAGGGCUGGCCCAUAAGCAUUUUCUACAUGCGGCUUGUUUUGUGCUUUGGCUUUUAGUUGGCGGUAUUCUGCUUGUGCACGCGCUGACGUACGUAAAACCAAAACACUCGCUGUCUGGGAGAGAAACGUGUCGACUAGGAGUCGUUUUAGGUUUGAAGAAUUACCAAGAAGCCCCGGCAGCAAUGAGCCAAGGGCGUAAAUGUGAAAAUAGGAGGAGAGAGUAAGAGCAACAUUCGAU